CUGACGUUUCCAUAGAUUUGUCUCAAAUUUCCUAGCUAUGGAUGUAAAUAAGAAUGUUCUGACUAGAACUAAUUUGGGGUUGAAUUGUUUUAUAACUUUCAGCUUCUGUACAUGUCACUCCACCUCCAAAAUUUCCCGGGGUUUUGUUCUGUUUCUUGUAGCUGAUUUUAAAUAAUGGGUGGAAAUUGGCAAGGGAGUUCAGUGUACAGCGUAAAGUAAUAUCGUGACCAGUUUUCAUCUGGUUCAGACUUCGAGGUGCUAACUGGCUUUGUCAAAAUUGAAUGUUUGGCGUUUGUUCAAAAAUCAAUUUAUUUGUGUUACCAUUGGAUUACGCCAAAUUCAUAUGUACAUCAUGUCCGAUAUUAUCCUCCUUCUUCAUUUGUGAUAUGGUUAUGGGUUUGAAAUUUAAGUUUCAGGAUGAGCUUCAAUGUUGAUGUGGCAGAUGUUAUAUUGAUUGUGUGGAUGCCUAUUUAUAAGCACUGACAGCCUCAAAUCAUCUUCUUAGAAAUCGACUUGAAAGGACUUUAUAAUACUGGGGACACAUCUAUCAUGAAUGCAACUUUUUACUCAUGCUAGUUUAACUGUGAAGAGCAUUAUGCGAUGGUUUCCUUUUCAAUUUGUAUGUUCUUACGCAAGUGUCUGCCAGAAGUUUUAUAUGAGUCUGCCAAACAAUGAAUCUGAGUCAUGUAAGUCACAUGAGCAAAAACUUUUAUGCUUAACAGCUUUUUAUUAUAAUUAUAACAACAAUAAUAAUUAUAACAAACAAUUAUUUAUGGUUUUUAUGGUUUAUGGUUUUUUUUUUUUGGUUUUUUUUAUGGUUAAAUUUAAAUUCUGUUAGUGCUGCACUAAAAGUAUCGUUAGUAAUAAGUCCAUGCAGCGAAGGAACUGAACAAUUGUGGGGCCGUAUUUGGGCCGAAAAAGGGUGUGGUACGGAAACCCAAAAAUGGCACGAGUUCAACAUAAAACAUGGAUUAGAAUUUUAGCGGGGGAUCAAGUCAAGUCUGGAAGUGUUACAGGAUGGAAGAGUGAGCCUACAGUUGAAAAAACAGUGAAAGCGCAUUACCAUUAAGGUAUGAGGUAAAGUAAUAGAGUAUGCAAAUUGUCUAAUGAGAAGUACCAUCUUGUGUGAAUGAAUCCUGUGUAACAGCAAUCCUUUAUAGUUCUGCCGCAGCUAGAAGCCUUAAAUAAUUCUGCUUUUCUUGCUAAAGAACAACUUGUCCUUUACAUUCAGAGUGUAGGUGAAGCUGGGUACUUAAAUGGCCCUAAGAUGUUUUACUUCUCUGGCAUUGCAGCGAUGAUUAUCAUACAUGGACUCUUUAUGUAUUAAAGGAAUUUUCUUGAAAUUUUUUUGAAUUUAUCAUUUUCAAAUGGUUCCGUUCACAUUUGUUGUUCAUGUGAGAUGUCACAUUUACCAGUUACUGCAUUAUAUUUACCACUAUUGCAAGAUGUUUGUUUAGGAAUUACUACUGUUUUGUUUAUCUGGAAUGUUGUGUGGGAGUCCAUCUGGAAUUGCUGGUCUGCAGUAAAUUUGUCAGGCUAGGUGAUGAAAAUCAAUGAAUCAGAAAACGUUUUGCAUGGGUGGUGAAUGUACUGACAGUUUUAACAAUUGUGAUGUGGUGUAUUUCACUUCCACGCAUCAUGUAGAAGUUGGUGACCUGAUACAAUGAACAUGGAAAAUCACCUGCGCCCGCGUUGACGAUGAUACCUGUACCGUAGUGCUGGAAACUAAAAUUAAUUUUCUUUACAAUUUGGUUUCAGGCUAUCUGUAUAAUUUUUUAAUAGUUUUGCGUUUAUUGAUGAUUCCGCAAGCUCUUAGCUGAUUUCGUCCUUUAGAUACCGCCUGUCGACGAUUUGACAGCCUCGCACAAUUAAAGAACGUAUGCCAAAAAGCCAAAGUGAGCUCUUCCGAGCAGAAAAGUGAUGGCGUAUCCAUUAAUUGAAAAUAGGCACAAGAUAACGUACAAUUGGCGUCCUUGUCUCAAUGGAGAAAUUUUGCCGUGGAGCUUAUAACCGAAAUACCAUUGCAGCUGUUCAAAAAAAGGAAAUGUGUAUUAUCACAUAGAUGUUGACUAGCUAACAAUCCAGAGAUACGUCAACUUGCGAAAUUUCUAGAUGUGUGUGAAGCGCAAUCAGCAUCCUUGUUGAACUGUAAACCCAAAUCAUGUAUUUUCCUAGAAAUAUCUAGGUUUUUGGAUAAAUAAAUAAA